AGAAUUGACUUCAGUGCUGACU
rnacentral:miRNA from 1 species